GAGGAAUAUUGGUCAAUGGGCGAGAGCCUGAACCAGCCAAGUAGCGUGCAGGAUGACGGCCCUAUGGGUUGUAAACUGCUUUUGUAUGGGGAUAAAGUCAGUCACGUGUGAUUGUUUGCAGGUACCAUACGAAUAAGGACCGGCUAAUUCCGUGCCAGCAGCCGCGGUAAUACGGAAGGUCCGGGCGUUAUCCGGAUUUAUUGGGUUUAAAGGGAGCGUAGGCUGGAGAUUAAGUGUGUUGUGAAAUGUAGACGCUCAACGUCUGACUUGCAGCGCAUACUGGUUUCCUUGAGUACGCACAACGUUGGCGGAAUUCGUCGUGUAGCGGUGAAAUGCUUAGAUAUGACGAAGAACUCCGAUUGCGAAGGCGGCUGACGGGAGCGCAACUGACGCUUAAGCUCGAAGGUGCGGGUAUCGAACAGGAUUAGAUACCCUGGUAGUCCGCACAGUAAACGAUGGAUGCCCGCUGUUGGUACCUGGUAUCAGCGGCUAAGCGAAAGCAUUAAGCAUCCCACCUGGGGAGUACGCCGGCAACGGUG
rnacentral:rRNA from 1 species